GUUACAUAAUACAGACAACUAUGAACAGGACCAAGACACGUUGAGCUUGGCAGAGGAGAAAUGUGACCUUCAAAUUGCAGAAUCCGAGGGGGAGUCUCAGGCAUUCCAAAGGGAGGAAGGGGAUUCAGAUGUAGUAUCUGUGAGAAAGUACUGAAAUGUAAAGGUGGAUAUACUGUUCAUCAGCAGAUGACUUGAAGUCAAAAGAAACGGAGACCAUUCAGUCAUUUCUACAGAUUUCCAAGCACGAAUGCUCUUAUGUUCAGCUGAGAA